rnacentral:rRNA from 1 species
GAUCAUUACCGAGUUUUCGGGCUUCGGCUCGACUCUCCCACCCUUUGUGAACGUACCUCUGUUGCUUUGGCGGCUCCGGCCGCCAAAGGACCUCCAAACUCCAGUCAGUAAACGCAGACGUCUGAUAAACAAGUUAAUAAACUAAAACUUUCAACAACGGAUCUCUUGGUUCUGGCAUCGAUGAAGAACGCAGCGAAAUGCGAUAAGUAAUGUGAAUUGCAGAAUUCAGUGAAUCAUCGAAUCUUUGAACGCACAUUGCGCCCCUUGGUAUUCCGGGGGGCAUGCCUGUUCGAGCGUCAUUACAACCCUCAAGCUCUGCUUGGAAUUGGGCACCGUCCUCACUGCGGACGCGCCUCAAAGACCUCGGCGGUGGCUGUUCAGCCCUCAAGCGUAGUAGAAUACACCUCGCUUUGGAGUGGUUGGCGUCGCCCGCCGGACGAACCUUCUGAACUUUUCUCAAGGUUGACCUCGGAUCAGGUAGGGAUACCCGCUGAACUUAAGCAUAUCAUA